GAGUUUGAUCAUGGCUCAGAUUGAACGCUGGCGGCAUGCCUUACACAUGCAAGUCGAACGGCAGCACGGGAGCUUGCUCCUGGUGGCGGGUGGCGAACGGGUGAGUAAUGCAUCGGAACGUAUCCUGGAGUGGGGGAUAACGUAGCGAAAGUUACGCUAAUACCGCAUAUUCUGUGAGCAGGAAAGCGGGGGACCUUCGGGCCUCGCGCUCUUGGAGCGGCCGAUGUCGGAUUAGCUAGUUGGUGAGGUAAAGGCUCACCAAGGCGACGAUCCGUAGCAGGUCUGAGAGGAUGAUCUGCCACACUGGAACCGAGACACGGUCCAGACUCCUACGGGAGGCAGCAGUGGGAAUUUUGGACAAUGGGGCAACCCUGAUCCAGCCAUGCCGCGUGAGUGAAGAAGGCC
rnacentral:rRNA from 1 species